GGGUCUAAUACCGGAUAUCACUCCCGCAGGCAUCUGCGGGGGUCGAAAGCUCCGGCGGUGAAGGAUGAGCCCGCGGCCUAUCAGCUUCGUUGGUGAGGUAACGGCUCACCAAGGCGACGACGGGUAGCCGGCCUGAGAGGGCGACCGGCCACACUGGGACUGAGACACGGCCCAGACUCCUACGGGAGGCAGCAGUGGGGAAUAUUGCACAAUGGGCGAAAGCCUGAUGCAGCGACGCCGCGUGAGGGAUGACGGCCUUCGGGUUGUAAACCUCUUUCAGCAGGGAAGAAGCGAAAGUGACGGUACCUGCAGAAGAAGCGCCGGCUAACUACG
rnacentral:rRNA from 1 species